AACCGCAUAGCUCAGUUGGCAGAGCAUUGGACUAGUAUUCCAAAGGUCGUAGGUUCGAUUCCCACCGUGGUCA
rnacentral:tRNA from 1 species